rnacentral:rRNA from 1 species
GGGUGCAAGCGUUGUCCGGAAUCACUGGGCGUAAAGGGCGCGUAGGCGGCUCAUGAAGGCUGUGGUGAAAGUCCGGGGCUCAACCUCGGAUCGGCCGUGGCGACUCGUGGGCUGGAGCACUGUAGAGGCGGGUGGAAUUCCGGGUGUAGCGGUGGAAUGCGUAGAGAUCCGGAAGAACACCAGUGGCGAAGGCGGCCCGCUGGGCAGUGGCUGACGCUGAGGCGCGACAGCGUGGGGAGCAAACAGG